rnacentral:rRNA from 1 species
CUACGGGUCGCUCCAGUCGAGAAUAGUCUACAAUGGACGAAAGUCUGAUAGUGCGACGCCGCGUGGAUGAAGAAGCAUUUCGGUGUGUAAAGUCCUUUUCUGUGUGAGCAAUGUUUUCCAGGUUAAUAGCUUGGAGAAAGCGAUAUUAACACAGGAAUAAGCUCCGGCUGACUCCGUGCCAGCAGCCGCGGUAACACGGGGGGAGCAAGCGUUGUCCGGAAUUACUAGGCGUAAAGGGUAAGUAGGCGGAAUUGUAAGUCAGAUGUUAAAGGCACCGGCUCAACCGGUGUAUGGCAUUUGAUACUGUAAUUCUAGAGUAAGGUGGGGGAAGACGGAAUUCCUGGUGUAGCGGUGGAAUGCGCAGAUAUCAGGAGGAACACCAGAGGCGCAGGCGGUCUUCUAUACCAUUACUGACGCUCAAUUACGAAGGUGUGGGUAUCAAACAGGAUUAGAUACCCCGGUAGUC